rnacentral:rRNA from 1 species
UACGUAGGUGGCAAGCGUUGUCCGGAAUUACUGGGUGUAAAGCGCGUGUAGGCGGCAGACCAAGUCGGCGGUGAAAGCGCCCGGCUCAACUGGGCGAGGUCCGUGGAAACUGGUCAGCUGGAGGACGGUAGAGGCGAGUGGAAUUCCCGGUGUAGUGGUGAAAUGCGUAGAUAUCGGGAGGAACACCUGUGGCGAAAGCGGCUCACUGGACCACAACUGACGCUGAUGCGCGAAAGCUAGGGGAGCAAACA